GAUGAACGCUGGCGGCGUGCUUAACACAUGCAAGUCGAACGAAGCACUUGAAUGGAAUUCUUCGGAAGGAAGCUCAAGUGACUGAGUGGCGGACGGGUGAGUAACGCGUGGGUAACCUGCCUCAUACAGGGGGAUAACAGUUAGAAAUGACUGCUAAUACCGCAUCAGCACAAGUGAUCGCAUGAUUGAGUGUGAAAAACUCCGGUGGUAUGAGAUGGACCCGCGUCUGAUUAGCUAGUUGGUGGGGUAAUGGCCCACCAAGGCGACGAUCAGUAGCCGGCCUGAGAGGGUGAACGGCCGCAUUGGGACUGAGACACGGCCCAAACUCCUACGGGAGGCAGCAGUGGGGAAUAUUGCACAAUGGGGGAAACCCUGAUGCAGCGACGCCGCGUGAAGGAUGAAGUAUUUCGGUAUGUAAACUUCUAUCAGCAGGGAAGAAAAUGACGGUACCUGACUAAGAAGCCCCGGCUAACUACGUGCCAGCAGCCGCCGUAA
rnacentral:rRNA from 1 species